UCCGAUAUGGUCUAGUGGCUAGGAUUUGCCGCUCUCAUUGCAGAGUCAGUUCACUGUUCAGUGCCGGCAAGGCCCGGGUAAGUUCAAUCACAACAACUCCUCUAUCACCUCAUUCUAAUCCAACUCAGGUUCGAUUCCCGGUGUCGGAA